UACGUAGGGCGCAAGCGUUGUCCGGAAUUAUUGGGCGUAAAGAGCUCGUAGGCGGUUUGUUGCGUCGGCUGUGAAAUCCCGAGGCUCAACCUCGGGUCUGCAGUCGAUACGAGCAAACUAGAGUGUUGCAGGGGAGACUGGGAAUUCCUGGUGUAGCGGUGAAAUGCGCAGAUAUCAGGAGGAACACCGGUGGCGAAGGCGGGUCUCUGGGCAACAACUGACGCUGAGGAGCGAAAGCGUGGGGAGCGAACAGG
rnacentral:rRNA from 1 species